AUGUACCACGCCAGUGUAUGUUUGAGAUGCCCUGAUUUUGAGAUGAGCCUCACUGGUGGUCUUCGUCCUACCCCACAUGAGGCGAAGUGCUCGGCAGCUGCCAAUAUGAUAUUGGAGCUUCACAAGAAGGCGGAAGACCGGGAUGGUACUUCGCCAAUCGAGACGGCCUUUGCGCUCAUGGUGCGCGUCAUCGGGAAGCACACGGCCGGCAAGGUACAUGAGUACUGGAUCGACGAUGGACUCUACGGCUCCCUCAACUGCGUCCUCAUGGACGACUACGUGCCCCGCCCGAGGCCGCUCGCCACCCCACGCGCUGGCCAGGAGACGUACACAUCGACUGUGUUCAGGCCGACGUGUGACUCACUCGACACGGUGGUGACGCGGUACCGGCUGCCGGAGAUACGCGCGGGGACUGGCUCGUGUUCUGUGACAUGGGCCCCUACUCCAUCGGCUCUGGCUCCGGCUCCCAUUUUCAAUGGCUUCUCCAUGUCCGAUAUUACGACAUUCUCAGAAGCAUAA
rnacentral:rRNA from 1 species